rnacentral:lncRNA from 1 species
CCACUUAGGCAGAACUCCUGUUCUGUGCGUUUGAAGCCAGCCUUGUCUGUGUACAUAGUGAGUUCCAGGACUACAUAGAGAGAGCCUGUUUCAGAAAAGAAUUAUAACUUUGAAAUGGACAGGCCUAUUUCACUCAAACAUCUGUGUCUAGAUUAUGUCAGAACCAAGAAUAAUCACUCAGUUUCACAGUUUAGUAGGCACAAGUAGUUCAAAAGGUAUUUACUUAGUACUUCUGUUUUCUCUUUCCCCCACUUAUUAAAGGAAAACCUGCAAACACUUGGAACAGAAAUAGAACGCCUUAUUAAACACCAGCAUGAACUGGAGCAGAGGACGAAGAAGGCCUAACACAAAGUUCUUGCCUAGUAGACAAACAAGCCACAGAGCAGUAGGUGCCACUGCCCAGUGUCCUGAAACCGUCCCUGCUUUCUGUCAACUAAUCAAAAAUUGGUUUUCUUCCCUGUGUAGAGGUGCCCUUUUAUGAAUGGCUGUGAGGUGUGUGUGCCUGAGCUCACUGAGCUCAGCAAAGGUCAUUUCUCUGCGGUGCAGUCAGAUGCCUUGUCACUGACUCAGAAUGGAAUCUGCUUAUUGUCCCAAAGUGCUACACAUUAGUUACAAGGGUUAAAAGCCUUACCACAGUCUCUACCGUAGUGACAUCAACCUUUGAAAAGUAUUCCUGAAAAGAGGGAGGUGUUCAUCCAACUGCUCAUUAUUUCUGCAAAAUGAAAAGAAACCUAGAGGAAUUAUAAAGCUUUUCAGUUUUGAUCUGGGCACAGUGAUCACCCCUGUAGUCCUAGCUACUUCGAAGGCUAAAGAGGAUCUCUUGAGCUCAUGGGUUCAAAGUCAGCCUGGAAACAUCUUAAAACCCCAUUGUAGUUAGCUCCAGUCACAGAGUAGCCUUGGGCUGUGGUAGAAGGGCACUUCAGUCAGUUCUGAGUUUACCGACAGCUGGCAGGAGAGCUGGCUGUAGGGAAUUAGCUCUGGCCAGGCACUGUGUCAGGUUUCCUUACCUGACGUAGGUAUAUUUUUCACAUUUGAGUUACUAGUUGAAAUUUUAAAAUCUUAAGUUAUGUAAACUAUGAUUUUAAACAAUAUGUAGACUUAAGUUUCUCCUGUGAAUUUGUUAUGUUUUAAAGUGUGAAAUGAAUCCAGUCAGUCAGUGAAAUGAACAGAUAAAUGAGGACUUGAAACUGAGAUGCUUUAUGACAUACAUGCCUUAGUUCUACUGACACUGUGUACGGAAGUGCAGAGGGCUGGGGCCGAAGCUUAUGUGUGCUCAUCACGUGAGGAGACGCUCAGUUUCCUCACAUGCUGUUUCUGUAUGUUAUUUACCACAGUUGUCUUCAGCCAACUGGACUUUGGAACUGAAUUGUGUAUUUUGAUGGAUGUUUACAGUGUUUAAGAUGUACAUUUAAAUAUUGCCAAUUGUAGUAUCGACACUUCUGUCAUUGCAGAUUUUCUCAGUUGGUAACAUCUCACUUCCCAGAACCUAAAACACCCCAUUCUCUGGGACUCUGUUCAUAUUCAGUAAGCUUCUAUUGGUGAUUUUUGGGUUGGUUUUUGGAUUUUUGGUUUUUUUCCCUCUUAAGGAACUUGAGCUAUGGGAUCUUUGGGAACUCUAAAGAGUUGUCUGUGCUCUGGCUGGGCAUGGUAGCACAUGCCCAUAAUCCCAACACUCCGGAGGUGCAGGCUCAUUACAGACCAGCCUCAAGUACACAGCGAGUUGGAGACGCCUCGGAAGCCUGUACUGUAAUAGAACUGUGCGGGCUCUAAAGAUUACAAUCAUGACGUCAGCGCCCUUUUAAUGUGUUUUAACAUUUCCUCAAAUCAACAUUGAUUAUAAAUGUAAUUUACUAAAUACUAGAUGUCAGUAUAAUGUCUUUUUGUGAAUAUUAUCUGUUAUUAUCUGAAAAGUAUCCUUAGCUUCAGUGUGAAAAUGCAUUUAAUGUUGUUUUAUUUUUAAGAUAGUUGUAAAAAGUAUUAGUCAUAAUGUCUUGCUCUUUUAUUAUUAAUAAUUUAUUAGAAUAAAAAAUAAGAGGGUAAGUGCAAUAA